GCGCUGAUGAAGAGUCCCAAACUAGGACGAAACAUAUGUCCCGUAC
rnacentral:hammerhead_ribozyme from 1 species